GAUGAACGCUGGCGGCGUGCCUAAUACAUGCAAGUCGAGCGAACGGACGAGAAGCUUGCUUCUCUGAUGUUAGCGGCGGACGGGUGAGUAACACGUGGAUAACCUACCUAUAAGACUGGGAUAACUUCGGGAAACCGGAGCUAAUACCGGAUAAUAUUUUGAACCGCAUGGUUCAAAAGUGAAAGACGGUCUUGCUGUCACUUAUAGAUGGAUCCGCGCUGCAUUAGCUAGUUGGUAAGGUAACGGCUUACCAAGGCAACGAUGCAUAGCCGACCUGAGAGGGUGAUCGGCCACACUGGAACUGAGACACGGUCCAGACUCCUACGGGAGGCAGCAGUAGGGAAUCUUCCGCAAUGGGCGAAAGCCUGACGGAGCAACGCCGCGUGAGUGAUGAAGGUCUUCGGAUCGUAAAACUCUGUUAUUANGGAAGAACAUAUGUGUAAGUAACUGUGCACAUCUUGACGGUACCUAAUCAGAAAGCACGGCUAACUACGUGCCAGCAGCCGCGGUAAUACGUAGGUGGGCAGCGUUAUCCGGGAAUAUUGGGCGUAAAGCGCGCGUAGCGGUUUUUUAGUCUGAUGUGAAAGCCCACGGCUCAACCGUGGAGGGUCAUUGGAAACUGGAAAACUUGAGUGCAGAAGAGGAAAGUGGAAUUCCAUGUGUAGCGGUGAAAUGCGCAGAGAUAUGGAGGAACACCAGUGGCGAAGGCGACUUUCUGGUCUGUAACUGACGCUGAUGUGCGAAAGCGUGGGGAUCAAACAGGAUUAGAUACCCUGGUAGUCCACGCCGUAAACGAUGAGUGCUAAGUGUUAGGGGGUUUCCGCCCCUUAGUGCUGCAGCUAACGCAUUAAGCACUCCGCCUGGGGAGUACGACCGCAAGGUUGAAACUCAAAGGAAUUGACGGGGACCCGCACAAGCGGUGGAGCAUGUGGUUUAAUUCGAAGCAACGCGAAGAACCUUACCAAAUCUUGACAUCCUUUGACAACUCUAGAGAUAGAGCCUUCCCCUUCGGGGGACAAAGUGACAGGUGGUGCAUGGUUGUCGUCAGCUCGUGUCGUGAGAUGUUGGGUUAAGUCCCGCAACGAGCGCAACCCUUAAGCUUAGUUGCCAUCAUUAAGUUGGGCACUCUAAGUUGACUGCCGGUGACAAACCGGAGGAAGGUGGGGAUGACGUCAAAUCAUCAUGCCCCUUAUGAUUUGGGCUACACACGUGCUACAAUGGACAAUACAAAGGGCAGCGAAACCGCGAGGUCAAGCAAAUCCCAUAAAGUUGUUCUCAGUUCGGAUUGUAGUCUGCAACUCGACUACAUGAAGCUGGAAUCGCUAGUAAUCGUAGAUCAGCAUGCUACGGUGAAUACGUUCCCGGGUCU
rnacentral:rRNA from 1 species